rnacentral:rRNA from 1 species
UUUUUUGUUUAAAUGUUUUUUCGCCUAAGGAUGGGUCUGCGGCCGAUUAGGUAGUUGGUUAGGUAAUGGCUUACCAAGCCGUUGAUCGGUACGGGUUGUGAGAGCAAGAGCCCGGAGAUGGAACCUGAGACAAGGUUCCAGGCCCUACGGGGUGCAGCAGGCGCGAAACCUCCGCAAUGCGAGAAAUCGCGACGGGGGGAUCCCAAGUGCCAUUCUUAACGGGAUGGCUUUUCAUUAGUGUAAAGAGCUUUUGGAAUAAGGGCUGGGCAAGACCGGUGCCAGCCGCCGCGGUAACACCGGCAGCUCUAGUGGUAGCAGUUUUUAUUGGGCCUAAAGCGUCCGUAGCCGGUUUAAUAAGUCUCUGGUGAAAUCCUGUAGCUUAACUGUGGGAAUUGCUGGAGAUACUAUUAGACUUGAGACCGGGAGAGGUUAGAGGUACUCCCAGGGUAGAGGUGAAAUUCUGUAAUCCUGGGAGGACCGCCUGUUGCGAAGGCGUCUAACUGGAACGGUUCUGACGGUGAGGGACGAAAGUUAGGGGCGCGAACCGGAUUAGAUACCCGGGUAGUCCUAACUGUAAACGAUGCGGACUUGGUGUUGGGGUGGCUUUGAGCUGCUCCAGUGCCGAAGGGAAGCUGUUAAGUCCGCCGCCUGGGAAGUACGGUCGCAAGACUGAAACUUAA